GUUUAAUUCAAUAUACAUUUUUGUCAGCCAAACUGUUUCUAUCUUUUAAAUAUAAUUAUUACUUUAACAGUUCAAUUAUACAUUUUUUUUGUUGUUUAAUUUCAUAAACAACAUAUUUAGUUUUUCGUUCCACUAUGCAAAAUAGAAUCAAUAUGAUGAUGGUAAGAGGUUAACUUUGGAUAUUAUAGUUUACGUGAAUCUUGUAUAACUAAGAUAUACUAAUAUAGAGCUGAGCAUAUUGGUUCAUGUGGGUCAGUCAUCAAUGCAGAAUCAUUGCAUAAUUUUAGUGUCACGCAUCAAGUCGUAACAAAUGGUGGAAGACAAUAUGUAAUUAAGAACUGGUUUUAAUAAAUAAAAUAUUUGAAAAUGA